ensembl:lncRNA
UCCGGAUCGUCUGGCUGAGGCUCCGGUUCUGUAGGAUGUGCAAACGCUUUCCACUCACCCGGCGGGGAGGCCAAAAUGUGAAAUGAGAGGGGUGGUCCUCAAGCGAAGAUCAGGAAUUCCUAUAGAUGACAACCCAUCUGACAAGGAAAUGCAGGAUAAAGGCUUCCCAGCCUUGACAGAUCUCAUCGGGUGGGAAGGUAGUCUUUCUGAUGGAGUGGUCAUUGUCUUUCUUCAGUCCAUAGUUUUCCAGUGAGAAGGAGAGCAGAAUCUCUUCCCCCUUUUCCCCAGGGACCAUGUGAGUCAGGAUAAUACUAGGUUAUGCUUCAGUAACAAAAAUGUAUUCGUGCUUGUAACAGGUUGAUGCAGGCUUUCCUUGGCAGCUCUCAUCCAAGCAAAGACUUUGGAGGCUGGGCUUCCAUCUUAUUGCUGUGCCGUCUGCAUCAUGCUUCCAAAUCACGGUGGAGAGGGGAAGGGAGGGAGCACUUGGCAUUGAUAUAUCCAGGCUUGGAAGUGACAAACGUCACUUCCGCUUGAAGUUCAUUGUACUGAUCUAGUCAUUAGAUACCUAACCCAGCUGUAAGGAGUUAGGGAAAUGUAGGGACGCCCACCCCUACUUGGGGGAUGUUAACUUGCUCCGUCCCCGAGGACUCUAUUCAGCACCAUUUCCCACCCUUGCCCACUUAUUGUGAAC